rnacentral:rRNA from 1 species
UACGGGGGGGGCAAGCGUUGUUCGGAAUUACUGGGCGUAAAGGGCUCGUAGGCGGCCCGGUAAGUCAGACGUGAAAUCCCUCGGCUUAACCGGGGAACUGCGUCUGAUACUGGAUGGCUUGAGUUUGGGAGAGGGAUGCGGAAUUCCAGGUGUAGCGGUGAAAUGCGUAGAUAUCUGGAGGAACACCGGUGGCGAAGGCGGCAUCCUGGGCCAGCACUGACGCUGAGGAGCGAAAGCCAGGGGAGCAAACGGG